AUUGAACGCUGGCGGCAGGCUUAACACAUGCAAGUCGAGCGGGCGAGGUUGCUUCGGUAACUGAGCUAGCGGCGGACGGGUGAGUAAUGCUUAGGAAUCUGCCUAUUAGUGGGGGACAACAUUCCGAAAGGAAUGCUAAUACCGCAUAGGCCCUAAGGGGGAAAGCAGGGGAUCUUCGGACCUUGCGCUAAUAGAUGAGCCUAAGUCAGAUUAGCUAGUUGGUGGGGUAAAGGCCUACCAAGGCGACGAUCUGUAGCGGGUCUGAGAGGAUGCUCCGCCACACUGGGACUGAGACACGGCCCAGAAUCCUACGGGAGGCAGCAGUGGGAAAUAUUGGACAACGGGCGCAAGCCUGAUCCAGCCAUGCCGCGUGUGUGAAGAAGGCCUUUUGGUUGUAAAGCACUUUAAGCGAGGAGGAGGCUACUUGGAUUAAUACUCUGGAAUAAUGGACGUUACUCGCAGAAUAAGCACCGGCUAACUCUGUGCCAGCCGCCGCAGUAA
rnacentral:rRNA from 1 species